AGAGAGAUGGCUCAGUGAUUAAGAGCACUGACUGAUGUUCUAGAGGAACUGGGUUCAAUUCCCAGGCUGUCCA
rfam:Neotoma lepida isolate 417 scaffold_12991, whole genome shotgun sequence.